AACGAACGCUGGCGGCAUGCCUAACACAUGCAAGUCGAACGAGACCUUCGGGUCUAGUGGCGCACGGGUGCGUAACGCGUGGGAACCUGCCCUUAGGUUCGGAAUAACUCCCCGAAAGGGGUGCUAAUACCGGAUAAUGUCUUCGGACCAAAGAUUUAUCGCCUUUGGAUGGGCCCGCGUUGGAUUAGCUAGUUGGUAGGGUAAAAGCCUACCAAGGCGACGAUCCAUAGCUGGUCUGAGAGGAUGAUCAGCCACACUGGGACUGAGACACGGCCCAGACUCCUACGGGGGGCAGCAGUGGGGAAUAUUGGAAAAGGGGGGAAACCCUGAUCCAGCAAUGCCGGGGGGGGGAUGAAGGCCUUGGGGUUGAAAAGCUUUUUUCCCCGGGAUAAUAAUGACGGUACCGGGAAAAAAAGCCCCGGCUAACCCCGG
rnacentral:rRNA from 1 species